UCAUCAUCAUCAUCAUGAUCAUGAUCAUCAUCAUGAUCAUGAUCAUCAUCAUGAUCAUCAUCAUGAUCAUCAUCAUGAUCAUCAUCAUGAUCAUCA